AGCGAACGCUGGCGGCAGGCCUAACACAUGCAAGUCGAGCGCCCCGCAAGGGGAGCGGCAGACGGGAGAGUAACACGUGGGAACGUAACCUUCAGUUUAGAACCACCCAGGGAAACUUGGGCUAAUACCGGAUGAGUCCGUAAGGACAAAGCUUUAUCGCUGAAGGAUCGGCCCGCGUCCGAUUAGCUAGUUGGUGAGGUAACGGCUCACCGAGGCGACGAACGGUAGCUGGUCUGAGAGGAUGAUCAGCCGCACUGGGACUGAGACACGGCCCAGACUCGUACGGGAGGCAGCAGUGGGGAAUAUUGGACAAUGGGCGCAAGCCUGAUCCAGCCAUGCCGCGUGGAUGAUGAAGGCCCUAGGGUUGUAAAGUCCUUUCGGCGGGGAAGAUAAUGACGGUACCCGCAGAAGAAGCCCCGGCUAACUACGUGCCAGCCGCCGCAGUAACAC
rnacentral:rRNA from 1 species